GAGCGGCAAAAGCUCAAAUUUGAAAUCUGGCACUUUCAGUGUCCGAGUUGUAAUUUGAAGAAGGUAUCUUUGGGUCUGGCUCUUGUCUAUGUUUCUUGGAACAGAACGUCACAGAGGGUGAGAAUCCCGUGCGAUGAGAUGUCCCAGACCUAUGUAAAGUUCCUUCGAAGAGUCGAGUUGUUUGGGAAUGCAGCUCUAAGUGGGUGGUAAAUUCCAUCUAAAGCUAAAUAUUGGCGAGAGACCGAUAGCGAACAAGUACAGUGAUGGAAAGAUGAAAAGAACUUUGAAAAGAGAGUGAAAAAGUACGUGAAAUUGUUGAAAGGGAAGGGCUUGAGAUCAGACUUGGUAUUUUGUAUGUUACUCUCUCGGGGGUGGCCUCUACAGUUUACCGGGCCAGCAUCAGUUUGAGCGGUAGGAUAAGUGCAAAGAAAUGUGGCACUGCUUCGGUAGUGUGUUAUAGUCUUUGUCGAUACUGCCAGCUUAGACUGAGGACUGCGGCUUCGGCCUAGGAUGUUGGCAUAAUGAUCUUAAGUCGCCCGUCUUGA
rnacentral:rRNA from 1 species